UUGAACGCUGGCGGCAUGCCUUACACAUGCAAGUCGAACGGCAGCACGGGGGCAACCCUGUGGCGAGUGGCGAACGGGUGAGUAAUACAUCGGAACGUGCCCCGUAGCGGGGACGAACCAAGUCGAAGACUGGCUAAUACCGCAUACGCUCCACGGAGGAAAGCAGGGGAGUCGCAAGACCUUGCACUAUGGAGCGGCCGAUGCCCGAUUAGCUAGUUGGUGAGGUAAAGGCUCACCAAGGCAACGAUCGGUAGCUGGUCUGAGAGGA
rnacentral:rRNA from 1 species